ensembl:lncRNA
UCAUCUCAGAAAUCACCGUUCGGGAAAGGGAAGGGAGGGGACAGCGAGUUGUGCAGGAGGAAGGGGAAGGAGGUUUUUUUUCUCGCUCUCUGCUGCCGGGAGGGUGUUUUGCGGUGCGGGGCUCGCCUCCUUCCCCGGGAAUCGCGGCUCCCGCAGCCCAGCGAGCCCCCGGAACGCGCUCCCUCCUCAGGCACUCGGCAUCCAGCGGGGCCGGGCUGUGGGUGCCCCGCGCGUCCCCCGCCCUCGCUCGAGCCGGGCAAGGCAGGAGGGGUUUUACCUCAGCAGCGCAGCAGCCUCCGGCAGGGAGGGGAAGGCGCGGCCGGCCGGGCUCCUCUCUCCCCCAUGGAAGAUCUUCAAGGCAAAAACUGGACUGACUUCUCUGCAUGGGACUUAGAGAUCGUGGAACUGGAAAGAUAAAGGAGUUGGCAAGAACUUGUUUUAUCCACCAUGCUGCUCUGUGACUGCUGCUGGCCCCACAGAGAUGGCUUCAUUCCAUCAGUAUUUAUUGCAUAUAAUUUGCAAACAGCUCGUUGAGAUGCUCUGAAAGAUGCAAUAAAAAUGCAGAAAAUAUGAAUGCUGAAAAAAUGGCGUUGUCUGCUGUAGGAAUAUGGAACCAGAUCCCCGUGUCCUGUGCCUUUAUUUCAGCGAAGGAGCUGGGCUAUUGUUUCUAUUUAAAAUUGGUUGCCAUGGUGGUUUCAUCCGGGCUUGUGCCCUGAUGAAAAUUGUUUGUAUCAGUGACGCAGCAGCGCUGGCAACCCAAUGUUUGCAUCAACCUCCAAGAGAGCAGCAACUGCAGAACUGCAACCUGACACUUCACCUGUGCACCCCAAACAGGUUCCUGAAACACCCAGGGACCCCUGGCUGCCACACCUGGGGGCAGAAAACAGCAGCAGAUUUCCUCACUGGAGCAGUGCUGGUUAAAUUGAUUUCGAUCUGGAACAUGAGUACCAGUCCCUUCUCUUCACCUUUAUUGGGAAAUCCCCCUUUCCAGCAGAUGUGGCUGCAGAUGAAACAGCCUGGCAGUCUGUCUUUCCAGCUUGGGGAUUGUGUUUCAGCUGAUGUGCCUGCAGUGCCUGCUCUGCUGAGCUGGGAGUGAAAGAUCUGCUGAGUAAGAAAUUAUUAAAGGCCAGCAAGAGCCUCGUUGGCUUUUGGUGCUGUCGGUGCAAACUUUAUCCAUAAUGGAGCAGCUUUUCCAGGAACACAAGCAGGAGAGACCAGGCUGUGUUAGCACAGCUCUCCACAGAGGCAAUGCUGGGCUGCUGCUUUAUUCCAGAUGCCAGAGCUGAGGCAGUGCUCCAUGUGAUGCAUCUCCUCCCCGCCACAUGCUUGCAGGUUUAAAAGCAUCACAGGCUCAAAACUGGGACUGUUUUAGAAGGGACUGGCCUGUCUGCAGCAGCCUGGAGCCCAGGGGAUCUUUGGAGGGAGAGCUGAGGGCCUUGCACAGUCCUGUGAACCUGCAGUGCUCUCUUUUCCAUUGGAAAAGGAAAGCUGCAGGUAGGAGCUUCACCCAUGACUAUCAGCAGGAUUUGGCAAGGGUCAGGUCAGGAACACCUGGAUGCUUCAGCCAGGAGCUUUGUAUAAAACUGAGACACAGAUUCCUGAAAACUCCCUGUUAAAAGCUGGCACCCCAAGGAUGGGAGAAGCCAGGUGACUUUGUGUUUGUACCACUGCUGCAGAGCACAUCUUUCUCCUAAACCCUUUAAAUCAAUACACCACUCUAAAAAAGGCCAACCUGUAAUAAAUGCAGGAAAAUAUCAGCAUAUGAGAGGAAAAUAUCAGAGGUUACACCUGGUUAGGCCUCUCCUACAUGUGCAAUCUG